AUUGAACGCUGGCGGCAUGCUCUACACAUGCAAGUCGAACGGUAACAGGCCGCAAGGUGCUGACGAGUGGCGAACGGGUGAGUAAUGCAUCGGAACGUGCCCAGUCGUGGGGGAUAACUACUCGAAAGAGUAGCUAAUACCGCAUACGAUCUAUGGAUGAAAGCGGGGGACCGUAAGGCCUCGCGCGAUUGGAUCGGCCGAUGUCAGAUUAGGUAGUUGGUGGGGUAAAGGCUCACCAAGCCAACGAUCUGUAGCUGGUCUGAGAGGACGACCAGCCACACUGGAACUGAGACACGGCCCAGACUCCUACGGGAGGCAGCAGUGGGGAAUUUUGGACAAUGGGCGCAAGCCUGAUCCAGCAAUGCCGCGUGCAGGAAGAAGGCCUUCGGGUUGUAAACUGCUUUUGUACGGAACGAAACGGCUCUGGUUAAUACCCGGGGCUAAUGACGGUACCGUAAGAAUAAGCACCGGCUAACUACGUG
rnacentral:rRNA from 1 species